GACCCCAGGUCAGACGGGAUUACCCGCUGAGUCUAAGCAUAUCAAUAAGCGGAGGA
rnacentral:rRNA from 1 species